UGAUGACAACUCUCGGAACAUUAAAAAUCUGCAGCCAGUUAAAAACUGGAAGCAUUGGCUCAAACAAAGGGCUGGGACAAUAUUGUUGUUACUUGUUAAAAUCGUAGAAUGGAUUUCUUAGUGGGCACACAUCAAUAGAAAUCAUCAUCAUAGCCCUGGCACGGUGGCUCAUGCCUGUAAUCCCAGCACUUUGGGAGGCCGAGGCGGGCGGUUCACGAGGUCAGGAGAUUGAGAUCAUCCUGGCUAAGACGGUGAAACCCCGUCUCUACUAAAAAUAUAAAAAAAUUAGCCAGGCGUGGUGGUGGGUGCCUGUAGUCCCAUCUACUUGGGAGGCUGAUGCAGGAGAAUGGUGUGAACCCAGGAGGCAGAGGUUGCAGUGAGCUGAGGCAGCGCCACGGCACUCCAGCCUGGGCAACAGAGCGAGACUCUGUCUCAAAAAAAAAAAAAAAAAAAAAUCAUAGCCAAAUUUCGUGUGACUGGUGAUUACUUAGCACAUAGUAGAUCCUUUUGAAUCUUCAUAAAAAAAUCAUAUAAAAUAGUUGUUAAUGUUUCUCAUUUUUACAGAUGAAGAAAAUAGAUUCAGAGAGUAUCUUUGAGAGUUCACACAAGAAAGUGCAACAGUGACUUAGGACAGGGCUCUCAGAGUUUGGAUGUGCACAGCCUCUCUUGAACCAAAAGUCCCCUCUUCCCCAAACCAGCUCAUCCAUGAGCAUAUUAGAUUUGUCUGAAUUUACUCAAAAUUCUUAGGGAAAUGUAAAAGUUGUAUAAGAAGAACAACAUAUGAGCCAACGUGACCCCUGAUAUCUCAAAACAGCAAUUUUAUUUAUUUAUUUGGCUUUAUUCUUUCAUUAACUCAUAUUUUACCUCAUUCCAGAAAUGAUUUUAUAUGGCAAGCUGUUGGUAUUGUAGUCAUUUAAUUUGCCAUUAACUUGUAGGGCCCUGAAGGAGUGCAGAGUUGGUGAGAAGCCUGGGGUUCUUUGGGGUGGGAAGUAGUAGCUGGAAGAGAGGCAGAGAAGAAAGGCUCCCCAUCCUUGACUCAGCUCACACUCAGCUUGGGGCUAACCAUGGUUGUGAAGAGGGCAUACGGACAUUCUGAGACAGAAACUGCAUCUGGCACGAACCAACCAUGAACAUUUUUAGAGAAGGGCCACAUAGUUUUCAAGCUGAAAGAAAACAGGCUGUAUUAUGCAUACGGUAUCUACAAUUGCACAUUCAACAACUGAGUUAUAUCAUUUCUCAGUAUUAAUUGAAGAAACGAUCAGAAUCCCUAUAGAAAGUAAUGCUGUGUUCAUUUGCUCAAUUACUUUGAUGAAUGCCUUCCUGAAGCUGUCCUCACUCCCCCUCAUUGCUUCUCCAAGGUAUGGAAAUAGGCAGCCCCAUGCUGCCACAUGUCUGACUAUGUUACAUGUGUGUUAUACCAUGUUAUCCUGGGUAAUGAGUCAUCCUAUCUGACUGGCUGGGAACCAUAAGGUGUUAUCCUUUUCUUAAGAUUUUUGCCCCUUGAAAUAAUCUUCUUGUUUCUCCUCACACCAACGAGUCCCUAUUCUUAGAUGCUUCUGGAGUUUCCAUAUUUGAGUUCUUCUGGCAAUGAUGGCCAGAGAGAAAGGAGAGGAAAGGAACCCACCAGUAGCUGUCUUCCUGCUGCCUGUCUGAGUACAGCCAGUAAACGGGAUGGAGUGGGAACUAACAAAAACUAGCCUACUCUUGUCAAAAAGAUCUCCACAUCAGAGAACAAGACCUGGAAGCCGUAAGAAGCCUGGAUCCACACAAAUGACCGCUUAGCAUUCAAAUACUCCCCUCCCAGAACACUGGAUGUGUUUCUUGCAUAUCUGACUUACUUUGCUGGCCAUCUACAGACAAAAGCAAUCUCUCCCCAGAUGAAAAUUUCUCUGGCCCUUUCUCUUUGUUUGUUUUUGGUGUUGUUUAAGAAACAGCAUUUCAAAUUCCCUCAGCCUUCCAAGAAAGCAGGCAGAUGUGUGAAUUAGAUUCCAAGCACUAAGACUUCUGCAUCUUAAUAAGCUGGGACACAACCAUGCCCUGGAAGCAAAAGUGAAUAGAAUUUCCACAUUCAUGAAGGGUCUACUGUUGAUUUUCUAAAAAGGAACAAAACAGUAACCAGAUGGUAGUUGACAGGGCAACUUUAAAGACAAGUAUUUGUUUUGAUCUCAUUCCUAAGGGAAAGAAAGUUAGAUAAUUAAUAGCAGGAAAGAACAGGAGAGAAAGGCUAGAGGAGAAGAAAUACCAAAGACAAUGUAUAAAGAGAAAUGUGAGGAGAAAUGGGUAUUGGAAAAUAAGGGGAAAAAUUAGCCGGUUCUGGAAAAAUAGAAAGUGGGAUGAAAUGAAAUAUAACUGCACAUUUUUCACUAAAUGGUUGCCUAGGAAACAACUAGGAGUGUUUCUCCCUGUACUGAAUAAUUGUUGAGAAACACACUGGACUUAGGGUGUCUUGGCUUUAUUGUAUCAACUGGGAAACUUAUGUGUCAGCCAUAGUAGUUAUGAGCACCAUACUUUCUGUAUCAUGCUUCUAACAACAGAAGUAGUCAGUUUCAACGAUUUUGGAGGGUAAUAGCAGAGGAAUUGUAAGAUUGAAACCUACAAACACAGGCAGGGUGAGACUUGAAAAUCUGAUUAGUCUAGGAUGACACAUUAGUAUGUGUAACACUAAGCAACAAACCAUGGAAAAGUCAAUUAGAAAAGCAGCUGAAGGCCCAUUUGGCAAUGUGAGAUCAUCUUUACAGUUUGCCCGGUAUCUGCUGAAAACCAGUUUUCCAUCUGAAGAGCUUGGUGCACUUAAAGUCAUAUAGUGUGGAGGCAAAGUUUCACAUUACAAAGUAGUUCUUUAUCUUCCAUUAGCAUACAGCCUGUAUGGAUCUUAUUAUCACUGUUUUCCUUUUAAUCUAAUAAUUAUAAAGAACAAAAAGCAUUAAAAAAUGCUUUACUGCUCCCAUUUGAAUUUGUCUUUCCUAUAGUGAAUUUUGCAGAAAAUGUUUAUAUACAUUGUCUUAAAUAAGCCCAUCUCUACAAAGUUGUCCCUCCUCUAUUGGGCUGAAUUCUCAGCGUGUGCAUGCAUGCGGGCACGCAUACGUGUGCGUGUGUUUGUGUACACAUGCGCAUACAUGUGCACUUAGAGAAUUGUGAGAGGGGUAGGGGAAACAGGUGUGGGAGGGAUUGUUUUUCAUAAUGACUCAUACUAUCCUUUUCCUAAACAAAAGCAGGAGUUAAGAAUGUGAGAACAUUUGCUGUUGGUUGGAAAUAGACCAUGGUUAUUUCAUCUUAUUUUCUUCUUCACAUUAACAUAGAGAAGCUUUCUAUAAAUUUGUAAGGUCAUACAUAUCCUAUCCUGUGAGACAGAGUGAAUCCUAAAUUGUAAAUAUUUUUAUUUAGAGACAAAUUGGAAAGGCAUGACAAAACAAAUAAGAAAUUAUCUCGGGCUCCUGACAAAUGUUUGAAUUGUAUCCUUGGAAUUCAUUUUGUCAAACAUUUACUCAUCCUUGUAUUGGUAUUGCCUUGUCACUUUCAUUUAUUACAGAAAAAAAUAAAAUCUCAGUUCAUAACAGGACCAGCAGCAAAGCAAACGUGACAUUCAACCCUCGGCCAUCUGUCUGGAUUUAGGUCAAGAUUGUUUCCAAAACUGGAAUGAGGCAGAGAAAGCCAAUAAAAUCUUGAUGGGUUUUUAUUUUGGUUGUA